rnacentral:piRNA from 1 species
UGAGAUAAGUCCUAAGAAUGUGGU